GAGAACUUUUGUUGGCCUGAAAAUAAGUCUCCAAAAAGCUGCUGGACCCCAAGGGGGUGGAUGACAGCCUGAGGACAACACCAAGCAGGGAAAGCUCAGAGACUGCAACUACAGAAUCUCAUAAAAUUAGAGAAGAACAAUGAACAGGAAAGCAUUAUUAGAAAAAUGGGCAAUUCAAGACACUUAAAAGCUGCUGUCAGACAUGAACAUUGCUAAUUUCAGGAGACAAGGGAGAAUCUGAAAUGUGGAACCUUUCUUUCGUCAGGAAAAUCAGAGAACCCUGAAGACAACAGAGCACAUGUGCAAAGAUUUGCUGCAUGUUGUACAGUCUCUGCUUAAAGCUUUCAAAUCUGUGUAACUUCUCUCUUGAACCAAGAGGACCUACAUGUGGAAAAAAAGACAUGCUUCAAAAUACAUAUUCGUUUUUUCAUGCUACUCUGGUGCCAACUUUAAAUCCACCCAAGCCUCCUCUUGCUGUUUUUACGCACAUGAGAUAGCACCUCAUGAUUGCUAUGUUACUACAAGGCUUUUCUUCCCAUUACACAACUCAACAGGCCAUUUUUUAACCAACAAAUGCCACCUGUCUGUACCAGCCAGGAUGCAGCCCACAGACAUGGCAGCUUCUUUCUCCACUUACCCAUUAGUUCAUAUUUUUUUUCUCAGCCAAAAUGCAUUAUUAAGCCUGCCCAUGCUGUAUUCAGUCCACACAAUAGCCAUUUGGUGUGAA